CCGAAUGAGUUUUUAAUCCACUCUUGAUUUUCCAUCUCAUGCCAACUGAAAAUUUUGGAGAAGGCGAUUCAAGGAUUUUAUGUAUCAGACGUGGCCGAGGAGACAUGCACAACUCAUUAUGUAAUUGUGAUUCUUUGCACAUGUUUAUCAAUUUAACGGGAAAAUUCAUAGAAACAAAAAUGGUGGUUGCGAUUCUUUCACUAAACACCUCUAUAUCAUCGAUUUUGUGCUUUGAUUUGUUUCUCAUCUGGACGGAGAAUAUAAUGUAAACAAUGAGACAAUUGAAGCUAAUGGUUUUAAAAAAAUAUAUUUAAUUUUUAUCUAUGAUCCUAAUUAUGAGGGAAUCAACUCAAAGUAUAUUCAUGAUGAAAAGAGGUUACAACUCUUACUUCCGUCAGAUGUCUUUGGCUGAGAUGAGACUGGGAUUGUCAGAUGUAACAUUUCUCUCCCAAAAUGUUAUCUAUCCGUUCAAGCUCAAAAACUCAUUCUGUUUUUUAUUAUGGAUAUGUAAUCCGAUUGUGGAGACAAAAAUCCUACAGGAAAAUGCGAACAUAAAUCGGAUUAAUGUUACUCAACGUGAACCCGAUUGUUGUUUUUGGGAAUUUUUAUCUAAAAUCAUCAAAUCCUUAAUUGGUUGAUAAACUUAGAUAUAAAAAACCGAUUGUUCACAAUCGAUUUUCUCUACUAUUACACAUUUAUCAAUUCUUGAUGUCUGUACAAACUCAAA